CUUAAUCCUCGUGGCCCGAAUUAGGAUAGGAUAACAGCAGCCGCGGCAACAACCAAUCAGAAGGCGCGAUGCAGAUAGCGGUUCUCAAGCCGCCAAUGGGCGGGCGAGGCUCGGAGUUGGGGUAAUGACAUCAGUCAAUCAGGAGCCCGGAGACAGAAGCUCCUCCUUCCUUCUCCCCGUCCCCGGGGGCGGGCUACUGGGGUGCAGAGAAGGGGUGGCGGUGCCGCGCGUGCGCAGGGCUGUGUUUCCUUCUAGCACCUUAAGGUGUGAAUCUGUGGUGGCUUCAGAUGAUCUGAAUCCCAGCGUCUCCCACCCCCUCUUCGCAUUCCCAGCUCCACACGUUCCCAUCUCUGUUCCCGUGCCUGCCAUGAGCACUUGUGCUGCCUCUCGCUUCAGCAGCGAGGCAUUGCCAACAAGGCUUAUUUGGGCUGUACAGAGCCUGUUUUUAAAACCCAC
ensembl:lncRNA